GUGCUCGCUUCAGCGGCACAUAUAAUAAAAUAGGAACAAUACAGAGAAGAUUAGCAUGGCUCCUGUGCAAGGAUGACACACAAAUUCGUGAAACAUUCCAGUUUUUG
ensembl:snRNA U6 U6 spliceosomal RNA